rnacentral:rRNA from 1 species
UUGGAGGGCAAGUCUGGUGCCAGCAGCCGCGGUAAUUCCAGCUCCAAUAGCGCAUAUUAAAGUUGUUGGAGUUAAAAAGCUCGUAGUUGAAUUUCGGGAUCAAUUUAUUGGUCGUGCCAACGGUACGCACUGGUACAAUUGGUUUCUCCCUUCUGACGAAGCAUGAUGUCAUUAAUUUGAUGUCGUGGGGAAUCAGGACUGUUACUUUGAAAAAAUUAGAGUGUUUAAAGCAGGCUUUGGCUUGAAUACAUUAGCAUGGAAUAAUGAAAUAGGACGUUUGAUCUUAUUUCGUUGGUUUCUAAGCUCGACGUAAUGAUUAAUAGGGAUAGUUGGGGGCAUUAGUAUUCAAUUGUCAGAGGUGAAAUUCUUGGAUUUAUUGAAGACUAACUACUGCGAAAGCAUUUGCCAAGGAUGUUUUCAUUAAUCAAGAACGAAAGUUAGGGGAUCGAAGACGAUCAGAUACCGUCGUAGUCUUAACCAAAAACUAUGCCGACUAGGGAUCGGAUGAUGUUAGUUUUUUAAUGACUCAUUCGGCGCCUUACGGGAAAC